rnacentral:rRNA from 1 species
UUAAGUUAUUAAGGGCGCACGGUGGAUGCCUUGGCACUAGAAGCCGAUGAAGGACGUUACUAACGACGAUAUGCUUUGGGGAGCUGUAAGUAAGCGUUGAUCCAGAGAUUUCCGAAUGGGGAAACCCAGCAUGAGUUAUGUCAUGUUAUCGAUAUGUGAAUACAUAGCAUAUCAGAAGGCAGACCCGGAGAACUGAAACAUCUUAGUACCCGGAGGAAGAGAAAGAAAAAUCGAUUCCCUGAGUAGCGGCGAGCGAAACGGGAAGAGCCCAAACCAACAAGCUUGCUUGUUGGGGUUGUAGGACACUCUAUACGGAGUUACAAAAGUAUAUAUUAGACGAAUCAUCUGGAAAGUUGAAUCAAAGAAGGUAAUAAUCCUGUAGUCGAAAAUAUAUACUCUCUUGAGUGGAUCCUGAGUACGACGGAGCACGUGAAAUUCCGUCGGAAUCUGGGAGGACCAUCUCCUAAGGCUAAAUACUCUCUAGUGACCGAUAGUGAACCAGUACCGUGAGGGAAAGGUGAAAAGUACCCCGGAAGGGGAGUGAAAGAGAACUUGAAACCGUGUGCUUACAAGUAGUCAGAGCCCGUUAAUGGGUGAUGGCGUGCCUUUUGUAGAAUGAACCGGCGAGUUACGAUUUGAUGCAAGGUUAAGCAGCUAAUGUGGAGCCGUAGCGAAAGCGAGUCUGAAUAGGGCGUUUAGUAUUUGGUCGUAGACCCGAAACCAGGUGAUCUACCCUUGGUCAGGUUGAAGUUCAGGUAACACUGAAUGGAGGACCGAACCGACUUACGUUGAAAAGUGAGCGGAUGAACUGAGGGUAGCGGAGAAAUUCCAAUCGAACUUGGAGAUAGCUGGUUCUCUCCGAAAUAGCUUUAGGGCUAGCCUCAAGUGAUGAUUAUUGGAGGUAGAGCACUGUUUGGACGAGGGGCCCUUCUCGGGUUACCGAAUUCAGACAAACUCCGAAUGCCAAUCAAUUUAACUUGGGAGUCAGAACAUGGGUGAUAAGGUCCGUGUUCGAAAGGGAAACAGCCCAGACCACCAGCUAAGGUCCCAAAAUAUAUGUUAAGUGGAAAAGGAUGUGGCGUUGCCCAGACAACUAGGAUGUUGGCUUAGAAGCAGCCAUCAUUUAAAGAGUGCGUAAUAGCUCACUAGUCGAGUGACACUGCGCCGAAAAUGUACCGGGGCUAAACAUAUUACCGAAGCUGUGGAUUGUCCGUAGGACAAUGGUAGGAGAGCGUUCUAAGGGCGUCGAAGCAUGAUCGCAAGGACAUGUGGAGCGCUUAGAAGUGAGAAUGCCGGUGUGAGUAGCGAAAGACGGGUGAGAAUCCCGUCCACCGAUUGACUAAGGUUUCCAGAGGAAGGCUCGUCCGCUCUGGGUUAGUCGGGUCCUAAGCUGAGGCCGACAGGCGUAGGCGAUGGAUAACAGGUUGAUAUUCCUGUACCACCUAGUAUCGUUUUAAUCGAUGGGGGGACGCAGUAGGAUAGGCGAAGCGUGCUAUUGGAUUGCACGUCCAAGCAGUAAGACUGAGUGUUAGGCAAAUCCGGCACUCAUAAGGUCAAGCUGUGAUGGGGAGAGGAAAUUGUUUCCUCGAGUCGUUGAUUUCACACUGCCAAGAAAAGCCUCUAGAUAGAUAACAGGUGCCCGUACCGCAAACCGACACAGGUAGUCAAGAUGAGAAUUCUAAGGUGAGCGAGCGAACUCUCGUUAAGGAACUCGGCAAAAUGACCCCGUAACUUCGGGAGAAGGGGUGCUCUUUAGGGUUAACGCCCAGAAGAGCCGCAGUGAAUAGGCCCAAGCGACUGUUUAUCAAAAACACAGGUCUCUGCUAAACCGUAAGGUGAUGUAUAGGGGCUGACGCCUGCCCGGUGCUGGAAGGUUAAGAGGAGUAGUUAGCUUCUGCGAAGCUACGAAUCGAAGCCCCAGUAAACGGCGGCCGUAACUAUAACGGUCCUAAGGUAGCGAAAUUCCUUGUCGGG